GUCUACCGCCAUACCAGCCUGAACGCACCCGAUCUUGUCUGAUCUCCGAAGCUAAGCAGGGUUGGGCCUGGUUAGUACUUGGAUGGGAGAAAACUGUCUUUAUUCACA
ensembl:rRNA 5S_rRNA 5S ribosomal RNA